rnacentral:rRNA from 1 species
CAGUCGUACGCUUCUUUUUCCACCGGAGCUUGCUCCACCGGAAAAAGAAGAGUGGCGAACGGGUGAGUAACACGUGGGUAACCUGCCCAUCAGAAGGGGAUAACACUUGGAAACAGGUGCUAAUACCGUAUAACAAUCGAAACCGCAUGGUUUUGAUUUGAAAGGCGCUUUCGGGUGUCGCUGAUGGAUGGACCCGCGGUGCAUUAGCUAGUUGGUGAGGUAACGGCUCACCAAGGCCACGAUGCAUAGCCGACCUGAGAGGGUGAUCGGCCACAUUGGGACUGAGACACGGCCCAAACUCCUACGGGAGGCAGCAGUAGGGAAUCUUCGGCAAUGGACGAAAGUCUGACCGAGCAACGCCGCGUGAGUGAAGAAGGUUUUCGGAUCGUAAAACUCUGUUGUUAGAGAAGAACAAGGAUGAGAGUAACUGUUCAUCCCUUGACGGUAUCUAACCAGAAAGCCACGGCUAACUACGUGCCAGCAGCCGCGGUAAUACGUAGGUGGCAAGCGUUGUCCGGAUUUAUUGGGCGUAAAGCGAGCGCAGGCGGUUUCUUAAGUCUGAUGUGAAAGCCCCCGGCUCAACCGGGGAGGGUCAUUGGAAACUGGGAGACUUGAGUGCAGAAGAGGAGAGUGGAAUUCCAUGUGUAGCGGUGAAAUGCGUAGAUAUAUGGAGGAACACCAGUGGCGAAGGCGGCUCUCUGGUCUGUAACUGACGCUGAGGCUCGAAAGCGUGGGGAGCAAACAGGAUUAGAUACCCUGGUAGUCCACGCCGUAAACGAUGAGUGCUAAGUGUUGGAGGGUUUCCGCCCUUCAGUGCUGCAGCUAACGCAUUAAGCAUUCCGCCUGGGGAGUACGGCCGCAAGGUUGAAACUCAAAGGAAUUGACGGGGGCCCGCACAAGCGGUGGAGCAUGUGGUUUAAUUCGAAGCUACGCGAAGAACCUUACCAGGUCUUGACAUCCUUUGACCACUCUAGAGAUAGAGCUUCCCCUUCGGGGGCAAAGUGACAGGUGGUGCAUGGUUGUCGUCAGCUCGUGUCGUGAGAUGUUGGGUUAAGUCCCGCAACGAGCGCAACCCUUAUUAUCAGUUGCCAGCAUUAAGUUGGGCACUCUGGUGAGACUGCCGGUGACAAACCGGAGGAAGGUGGGGAUGACGUCAAAUCAUCAUGCCCCUUAUGACCUGGGCUACACACGUGCUACAAUGGGAAGUACAACGAGUCGCGAAGUCGCGAGGCUAAGCUAAUCUCUUAAAGCUUCUCUCAGUUCGGAUUGUAGGCUGCAACUCGCCUACAUGAAGCCGGAAUCGCUAGUAAUCGCGGAUCAGCACGCCGCGGUGAAUACGUUCCCGGGCCUUGUACACACCGCCCGUCACACCACGAGAGUUUGUAACACCCGAAGUCGGUGAGGUAACCUUUUGGAGCCAGCCGCCUAAGGUGGGAUAGAUGAU